GUCUGAUUUCGCACCCGAGGCGAUGCGGAGGGUUACAGCAGGCGGCCUUCUGACUACAGGGCAUGAGGAGGGUAAAGGCUUUCCUGGAGGAGGGAACACUUGGCCCUGACCACAGGUAGGCCCCAGACGGGGUGCCAAGCUGGACUUUGCCCAGGCAGGAGAGGAGACGUCUGGGAGGGUUUUGGCUGGGCUGAGUAGCGGACGCUGAGCUCCUGACCCCCCAGCCUUGCUCCAGGGCCCCCUCCUUCACUCCCCGUGCCCCUCCCUCUGUCCUCAUGCCGUGUGCUCUGCUGACACUCUUCAGUGGUCACAGGGCACAUGACUCUGAGGCCGAGGCCCCUCCACCCUGCAGCCUCUCAGCAGCCACGCCUCCUGUGCACCUGGGGCCUUGGCACUCCCAGCUCCUUCCCCUAGGGAAGGCCUGCUGUCCUCAGACUUCACCUGACCCAGUGCUUCUCCCAGGGAGCUGGCUUGACUGCCUCGCUGUGCGGCCCACCACCCUGACCACCUUUGCUGCAAUCCUAGUACAUCUCUCAGUGCACGGAGGCCUCCACAGGGCAGGACCAGCCUAGACCGUUCCUACAGGGCCUCGUGGAGUACAGGGAAGGACACACACCAAGUCUGUGCACGCUGGCAGUGGUUCUUGUUCUUGCUGUCAUUUGGGCCUGGGCUGCCCUCCCUGGCUCUUGAGCUUUCGCCUACCCACUGUCCACGAGUCCUGGACUUGGUGUCACGGGUUCCAAGCUGCUGAGACUGGCCUCUCUGUUGGGUGAGCUGAGGAUCUCUGCGUCUGUUUGUGCUUCCCCUUCUGUCUCCCCAACCCCUGCACUCACCCCGUAACCCUCCUGCUGACACACCAUGGGAGCACAGUCAACAUUUGCUGGAUGAAUAAGCCGAGGAGUGCCGAGCACACACCCCACAGGCCGAUCUGGGUGGUCAGGGAUGCC